GAUGAACGCUGGCGGCGUGCCUAAUACAUGCAAGUCGAGCGAACAGAUAAGGAGCUUGCUCCUUUGACGUUAGCGGCGGACGGGUGAGUAACACGUGGGUAACCUACCUAUAAGACUGGGAUAACUUCGGGAAACCGGAGCUAAUACCGGAUAACAUUUGGAACCGCAUGGUUCUAAAGUGAAAGAUGGUUUUGCUAUCACUUAUAGAUGGACCCGCGCCGUAUUAGCUAGUUGGUAAGGUAACGGCUUACCAAGGCAACGAUACGUAGCCGACCUGAGAGGGUGAUCGGCCACACUGGAACUGAGACACGGUCCAGACUCCUACGGGAGGCAGCAGUAGGGAAUCUUCCGCAAUGGGCGAAAGCCUGACGGAGCAACGCCGCGUGAGUGAUGAAGGGUUUCGGCUCGUAAAACUUUGUUAUUAGGGAAGAACAAACGUGUAAGUAACUGUGCACGUCUUGACGGUACCUAAUCAGAAAGCCACGGCUAACUACGUG
rnacentral:rRNA from 1 species